UGGGGAAUUUUGGACAAUGGGCGAAAGCCUGAUCCAGCAAUGCCGCGUGUGUGAAGAAGGCCUUCGGGUUGUAAAGCACUUUUGUCCGGAAAGAAAUCCUUGGCUCUAAUACAGUCGGGGGAUGACGGUACCGGAAGAAUAAGCACCGGCUAACUACGUGCCAGCAGCCGCGGUAAUACGUAGGGUGCAAGCGUUAAUCGGAAUUACUGGCGUAAAGCGUGCGCAGGCGGUUCGCUAAGACCGAUGUGAAAUCCCGGGCUCAACCUGGGAACUGCAUUGGUGACUGGCAGGCUAGAGUAUGGCAGAGGGGGGUAGAAUUCCACGUGUAGCAGUGAAAUGCGUAGAGAUGUGGAGGAAUACCGAUGGCGAAGGCAGCCCCCUGGGCCAAUACUGACGCUCAUGCACGAAAGCGUGGGGAGCAAACAGGAUUAGAUACCCUGGUAGUCCACGCCCUAAACGAUGUCAACUAGUUGUUGGGGAUUCAUUUCCUUAGUAACGUAGCUAACGCGUGAAGUUGACCGCCUGGGGAGUACGGUCGCAAGAUUAAAACUCAAAGGAAUUGACGGGGUCAUAGCUGUUUCCU
rnacentral:rRNA from 1 species